GGAGGUUUUGUGAUUGCUGCAUUUACAUUUUCCAGGCCACUUAUGUUUUUCUUCCACAGUUAAAAUUCACUGUGUACACUUGAGAUUCUCAAAAGUGAUGAAGAGAGUCCCAGGAAGGAAUUUUCAUUAAAGUAUUUUAACAACACAGAGAAAGAAACAGAAGCAUGAACUACUCCAGUUUCAACCGAGACAAAAUACAAGGUUAACAGCUGGAAGACAAAGGCUUAGAACUCCCCUCCCAUUUGUCAGGAGCAGAUGAAGAACGAAGGAACGAGCUUCACAACUGGACUGGUUGGGAGAAAUGGUUUGAGCAGAUCUACUGGCCUCCAACAGCAGCUCAUGCUUAGCAGCAUAAUGGACAGCUGAGCUUAAGCAAGUAAGCUUGAAAUGGAUUUUUUUGUUGCUUUGGUUCUACAUUUGUUAGACUGUUUGGAGCUGUGAGACAGUCAUCUAUACACAUGGGAUUUAGGAAGUGAGGUUUCUCUGUCCUGUUAUGUGACAUUUGAUUUUAUCAAAUGAUAAACAGUUUAGUUUUCUUGGAACUUCCAAAACAUUAUCUCUUCUGCUGACAUCCUUCCUACCC